AAUGCACUCCCUCUAUCCGAAAAUACUUGUCAUAAAAAUGGAUAAAAAAUGUAUCUAAACAUAUUUUAGUUUUAAAUACAUCUUUAUUUAUUUAUUUUGAUGAUAAGUAUUUUCGGACGGAGAAAGUAACAG
rfam:Triticum urartu cultivar G1812 contig376943, whole genome shotgun sequence.